rnacentral:ncRNA from 1 species
UGAGUAACGCGUAAGAACCUGCUCUUGAGAGGGGAACAACAGCUGGAAACGGCUGCUAAGACCUGUGGACAGAGGAGCAAAAGGAGGAAUCUGCCCGAGGAGUGUCUUGUGUCUGAUUAACUAUUGGUGAGGCAAUAACUUACCAAGGCGAUGAUCAGCCACACUAGAGUCA